rnacentral:rRNA from 1 species
UACGGAGGGAGCUAGCGUUGUUCGGAAUUACUGGGCGUAAAGCGCACGUAGGCGGUUCUGAAAGUCAGCUGUGAAAGCCCCGGGCUUAACCUGGGAAUGGCGGUUGAAACUACAGGACUAGAAUCUGGCAGAGGGGGGUGGAAUUCCCGGUGUAGUGGUGAAAUGCGUAGAGAUCGGGAGGAACACCUGUGGCGAAGGCGGCCAACUGGGCCGACCCUGACGCUGAGGCGCGAAGGCGUGGGGAGCGAACGGG